rnacentral:rRNA from 1 species
UACGGAGGGUGCGAGCGUUGUCCGGAAUCACUGGGCGUAAAGGGUUCGUAGGUGGCCAACUAAGUCAGACGUGAAAUCCCUCAGCUUAACUGGGGAACUGCGUCUGAUACUGGUUGGCUUGAGUGCAGGAGAGGAACGCGGAAUUCCAGGUGUAGCGGUGAAAUGCGUAGAUAUCUGGAGGAAUACCGAUGGCGAAGGCAGCCCCCUGGGUUAACACUGACGCUCAGGCACGAAAGCGUGGGGAGCAAACAGG